UGCUGUAUCUGGUUCUGUUCUUGAAAAGACACGACAAAGCUCCAACACAGAUGACAGUGAAACUACCACAUCUAUUGUCAAAACAAUCCCAGGAUUGCCUUUCAAGGAAAAUCCAGCAGUUCACACAGACAGGCUUCAGCAGUGCUUAAAUUCUGAUCCUUUGAACACACAUGGAAC